AACGGCGUCGCGGGCUUCKAGCCUGGUGGCGAGUGGCGAACGGGUGAGUAAUACAUCGGAACGUGCCCUGUAGUGGGGGAUAACUAGUCGAAAGAUUAGCUAAUACCGCAUACGACCUGAGGGUGAAAGCGGGGGACCGUAAGGCCUCUCGCUCCACGAGCGGGCGAUGUCUGAUUAUCUAUUUGGGGGGGUAAGAGCCUCCCCCGGCGACAAUCACUAGCUGGGCUGAGAGGACGAUCACCCACACUGGGACUGAGACACGGGCCACACUCCUACAGGAGGGGGCAGUGGGGAAUUUUGGACAAUGGGGGCAACCCUGAUCCACCAAUGCGGCGUGUGUGAAAAAAGCCUUUUGGUUGUAAAGAACUUUUUUCCGGAAAGAAAUCUCGCUGUGUAAUACCUGGGGUGUGUGAGAGUACCCGAAAAAUAAACACCGCCUAACUACAUGCCACCACCCCCGGUAAUACACAUGGGGCGAGCGUUAAUCUCAAUUUCUGGGCGUAAAGCGUGCGCACGCGGUUUGAUAAAACAGGCGUGAAAUCCCCGAGAUCAACUUGUGAAUGGGGCUCGUGACUGUCACGCUAUAGUAUGUCUCAGAGGGGUAGAAUUCCACGUGURUCACAGAGAUGCGUAUAGAUGUGUAGAAGUACAGAUGUCGAAAGCAGACCCCUGUGACAUCACUGAGACUCAUGUACGAGAGCGUGUGAGCGAACACGAGUUUGAUACCCUGUGGUGCCCGCCCUAUACGAUGUCACCUAUAUGUUGCGAUUAUUUUCUCUACUAACGUGCCUAACCGGGGAUUGAACGCUUGGGGAUAUCGGCUCAGACUAAAGUCUAAGAAUUGACSGGAACCGCCCAGACG
rnacentral:rRNA from 1 species